AUUGAACGCUGGCGGCAGGCCUAACACAUGCAAGUCGAGCGAGUGGCGGACGGGUGCGUAAUGUCUGGGAAACUGCCUGAUGGAGGGGCAUAACUACUGGAAACGGUAGCUAAUACCGCCUACCAUCGGAUGUGCCCAGAUGGGAUUAGCUAGUAGGUGGGGUAACGCCUCACCUAGGCGACGUUCCCUAGCUGGUCUGCGAGGGUGACCAGCCACACUGGGACGGGGACACGGUCCAGACUCGUACGGGAGGCAGCAGUGGGGAAUAUUGCACAAUGGGCGCAAGCCUGAUGCAGCCAUGCCGCGGGUAUGAAGAAGGCCUUCGGGUUGUAAAGUACGUUAGGUUGGGAGGCGUUACCAACAGAAUAAGCACCGGCUAACUUCGUGCCAGCAGCCGCGGUAAUAC
rnacentral:rRNA from 1 species